rnacentral:rRNA from 1 species
GACAGAGGAUGCAAGCGUUAUUCGGAAUGAUUGGGCGUAAAGCGUCUGUAGGUGGCUUUUUAAGUCCGCCGUCAAAUCCCAGGGCUCAACCCUGGACAGGCGGUGGAAACUACCAAGCUGGAGUACGGUAGGGGCAGAGGGAAUUUCCGGUGGAGCGGUGAAAUGCGUAGAGAUUGGAAAGAACACCAAUGGCGAAAGCACUUUACUGGGCUAUCACUGACACUGAGAGACGAAAGCUAGGGUAGCAAAUGGG